AAUAAAUUGACCUAACAAUGAGCUAAAUGUGGCCAUCAGGGUCAAGUCCAUGGAGCCGCAUUUAAAGGUAGUCGUGUACUAUAAUUAUGUACACAUACAGGAAACAAGAACAUACUCAUAAAACUUAGAACACACAUCUAAUCACUAUUGCGACUACCAAAGUAUUGCAUUGAUCACUUAACGUCAAUUGAUGCUGAAGGCCAUUUUUGUGUUCAUUUCACCAGAAAAUCAAGAAAUGAAGAUGCCUGUAGAGCCCACCAGCUCCUCAGGGAAAAGAAAAAGUAUGGAAUUGACCCAGGGUGAGGCCAAGAGUUACAAAGGGGGAAACAAACUGUGUGCGACCCAGAGUGUGGCAUCCAGCUCCAAAGGUAAAACUAAAUCCAUUCAUUCCUUUAUUUUUUAUAUGCUUAAUCAGCACACAUUAAUAAAUAAUUAAAUAUUGACAGAAUACUAAGUACAGUUCAAUUUAGU
ensembl:lncRNA